GGAGAGAUGGCCGAGUGGU
rnacentral:siRNA from 1 species